rnacentral:rRNA from 1 species
UUGGAGGGCAAGUCUGGUGCCAGCAGCCGCGGUAAUUCCAGCUCCAAUAGCGUAUAUUAAAGUUGUUGCAGUUAAAAAGCUCGUAGUUGAAUUUCGGGGUCAGUAGAUUGGUCGUGCCACUGGUAUGUACUGGUCUUACUGGCUCCUCCUUCCUGAUGAACCGUAAUGCCAUUAAUUUGGUGUUGCGGGGAGACUGGACUGUUACUUUGAAAAAAUUAGAGUGUUUAAAGCAGGCUAACGCUUGAAUACAUUAGCAUGGAAUAAUGAAAUAGGACGUUCGAUCUUAUUUUGUUGGUUUCUAGGAUUGACGUAAUGAUUAAUAGGGAUAGUUGGGGGCAUUAGUAUUCAAUUGUCAGAGGUGAAAUUCUUGGAUUUAUUGAAGACUAACUACUGCGAAAGCAUUUGCCAAGGAUGUUUUCAUUAAUCAAGAACGAAAGUUAGGGGAUCGAAGACGAUCAGAUACCGUCGUAGUCUUAACCAUAAACUAUGCCGACUAGGGAUCGGACGAUGUUAAUUUUUUAAUGACUCGUUCGGCGCCUUACGGGAAA